rnacentral:rRNA from 1 species
AUGGUAGCCUUUCGGGAUACUCUAGAGAUCUGUGGGCUGGUGGACUUGGGUUUUGUGGGAAUACCUUUCACUUACAACAACAAGAGGGGAGGGUCAGGUAACGUCCAAGUCCGUUUGGACAGAGUAGUGGCUACAAAUGACUGGAGGAACUUGUUUUCUUUUACUAUGGUUCUCCAUGUUCCAUCUCCUUGCUCUGAUCAUGUGGCGGUCGUGCUAAAGGCAACUACAGACCAAGGACCAUUAGGAGGCAAGCAGCGUAGGUAUGAGCUGAUUUGGGAGAGGGAUGUUGUGCUUCCCGAAGUGAUUAAAGAGGCAUGGGAGGCGGUAGGCAAUAUCCAGAAUCUAGAGCAACUCCGGGAUGCCCUGUCAAAAACUAUGAUAAUGUUGGGUAAGUGGAGU